UACGGAGGGAGCUAGCGUUGUUCGGAAUUACUGGGCGUAAAGCGCACGUAGGCGGCUUUGUAAGUUAGAGGUGAAAGCCCGGGGCUCAACCCCGGAAUUGCCUUUAAGACUGCAUCGCUAGAACGUCGGAGAGGUGAGUGGAAUUCCGAGUGUAGAGGUGAAAUUCGUAGAUAUUCGGAAGAACACCAGUGGCGAAGGCGACUCACUGGACGACUGUUGACGCUGAGGUGCGAAAGCGUGGGGAGCAAACAGG
rnacentral:rRNA from 1 species